rnacentral:rRNA from 1 species
CCUACGAGUAGCAGCAGUGAGGAAUAUUGGUCAAUGGGCGCUAGCCUGAACCAGCCAAGUAGCGUGAAGGAUGACUGCCCUAUGGGUUUUAAACUUCUUUUAUAUGGGAAUAAAGUGCAGUCUUUAUACUGCUUUGCAUUUACCUUAUGAAUAAGGUUCGGCUAACUCCGUGCCAGCAGCCGCGGUAAUACGGAGGCUCCGAUCGUUAGCCUGAUUUGUUUGGUUUAACGGGAGCGUAGGCGGGUUGUUAAGUCAGUUGUGAAAGUUUGGGGCUCAAACGUAAAAUUGCAGUUGAGACUGGAAGCCGUGAGGACGUCAGAGGGAGGGGGAAUUCGGGGUGGAGCGGUGAAAUGCGUAGAUAUCACGAAGAACUCCGAUUGCGAAGGCAGCCUGCUGGACUGUAACGGACGCUGAUGCUCGAAAGUGUGGGUAUCAAACAGGAUUAGAUACCCUUGUAGUC